rnacentral:rRNA from 1 species
UACGAAGGGGGCUAGCGUUGCUCGGAAUUACUGGGCGUAAAGGGAGCGUAGGCGGACAUUUAAGUCAGGGGUGAAAUCCCAGAGCUCAACUCUGGAACUGCCUUUGAUACUGGAUGUCUUGAGUGUGAGAGAGGUAUGUGGAACUCCGAGUGUAGAGGUAGUAAAUUCGUAGAUAUUCGGAAGAACACCAGUGGCGAAGGCGACAUACUGGCUCAUUACUGACGCUGAGGCUCGAAAGCGUGGGGAGCAAACAGG